rnacentral:rRNA from 1 species
GACGAACCGAGCGAACGUUGUUCGGAAUCACUGGGCUUAAAGGGCGCGUAGGCGGGCUGUCAAGUCUGGGGUGAAAUCCCUCGGCUUAACCGAGGAACUGCCCUCCAAACUGCUUGGCUUGAGUCCGGGAGAGGUGAGUGGAAUUCCCAGUGUAGCGGUGAAAUGCGUAGAUAUUGGGAGGAACACCAGUGGCGAAGGCGGCUCACUGGACCGGAACUGACGCUGAGGCGCGAAAGCGUGGGGAGCAAACAGG